UCCGUUUUUCUUUUGUCCAGACAGUAAGAAUGUUCCUCUUGCCCGAUCCCCUUUCUCCUUUCCUCAUUCUCUCUUCUCACUCAGCAAUUGCUGUUGCCGGGUAGCUCCCAUCAGCUCGCUCUCUUGAUCCGCUAACAUUGAGGAUGCUCGUCCUCACCUGAAGUCACCCCCGCAGCUGGUGCUGCCACAGGGUGACCAUCGACGGCGGUGAUUUGGUCACGGAUUUCAUCUCCCGCAAGGCCGCAGCCUCUUGGAUCCAGCUUCAGUAUGACUAUGAGGAUGCUGGCGAGACUUUCUUCCCCAAGCGCGCAAGCCAAACGCAUCAUCGCUAUUUCCGCGCGAGGCAGCUCAACACAUCGUCCACAUCCUCUACAGCGCCAACAUCCUUCGAAGUUUGAACUGCAGAUGGAGCUGAUGGCAUUAAGACAGGAACCCACUAUCAAAUUUGAGAGCCAGCUGGAGGAAGACAAUGCCAAACUGCCAUUGGUUUGAGGAUGUUGACUUCGAAGUGUCGUUCGCCGAUCUAUAAUUUCGUGCAGAUGGUACUUAUUGGAGGUGGUCUGAUUGCUCGACAGAGCCGGCUGGUGUCCGCUGGAGGAAGAUAGUGCCGAAGUGCCAUUGGUUGGAGGAUGUUGACUUCGAAGUGUCAUUCGCCGGAGGAAGAUGAUGUACAAGGUGUAACCUAUAAUCUAGAGGACAAUUAACCCUUGAGGCGGAAGUGCUUUGUUUGUGGAGAUCGAAUCUCUGUACGUUUGUGGGAGUUUGAAGAGAUGGCAUCUCCAUAAAAAAAAUUGCGCCAGUUUUUUUAUUAUGGGAUGUUCUGAUGGCUCAUGUUUUUUUUGCGAAUAGCCUCAUGGGAUGGUUGAACCUACUGGGAUCAUGAGUUUUUGUUGUGGAAUGAUCUAAUCGCUCAACCUAUUGGGUUGUCAGAUUGUAAUUGUGGGAUAUUUUUUUCUUAAACAGAUCGUGGGAUGUUUGUUU